CGCAACGCCGACUGUAAAAUAUCCUCCAGAAGUUCGCCCUUCACGGCAGACCGUAUUUCCCCAACUAAAAGCCAAACCAAACGAGGAAGAAACUUGAAAUCCCCCUCCCGGUUUCCUCUCUUCGCACCUCCGCUUGAACGAUCGAGGCGCCGGCAGGCCAAGGAGUCUGGACUGGAUACACUCCUUCUCUUUUGUCCCGUGUGAUAAAAGAUUUAUAGCUUAUAAUAUCACAACAAUUGCCAUUUAGAAGAUUUUGGUGGCCAGAGCACAAAGCAAGUCACUGAACCAUGCUCAUGGUCUGCUGGAAUAUCACACUAAAACUUCAUGCUUGUAUGUGCAAAGACGAUCCCAAAAGUCCAUCAGUUGGUAUCCUGUCAAGAGGCUGGAACCACCUUCAUGGCCGUUAAUUCGUACAAGAUGGCCAAACCCAUUUUCAUGUACUAUGCCAUGCAGCAAAUGUCGUGGAUCAUCAAUCUGGGCAUAGUCCCAAUCUUCAGAUUCAUCAUGGGGUAACGCAGAACCAUGACUGCACGCCGGGCACCUGAUCAUUGAUUAAAUAAUUGUCAUAUCUGAAGACAUCAUUGCAGUUCAGCGUGUAAUUUUAUUUGUCAUCAGAAGUUGCAGUGUUGCAACCGUUUUUAUUGUCACAUUUGUUUGGAGUGAUAUUGUUGCUUUAUUAGAUUGCAAAUACUGAACAUUGGUGAACCAACCUUGUCUCAAAUAUUUGAACCAUCAGGCCACAACGCCGGCAGGUUUUGCAGCUGGCCAUUUUCUCAUUC